GCUGAAAGGAAGGACUAUGGAGC
rnacentral:piRNA from 1 species